UACGUAGGAGGCGAGCGUUGUCCGGAGUUACUGGGCGUAAAGGGUGCGCAGGCGGUGAAUCGGGUUGAAAGUGAAAGUCGCCAAAAAGUGGCGGAAUGCUCUCGAAACCAAUUCACUUGAGUGAGACAGAGGAGAGUGGAAUUUCGUGUGUAGGGGUGAAAUCCGUAGAUCUACGAAGGAACGCCAAAAGCGAAGGCAGCUCUCUGGGUCCCUACCGACGCUGGGGUGCGAAAGCAUGGGGAGCGAACAGG
rnacentral:rRNA from 1 species